rnacentral:lncRNA from 1 species
GUUCAAUUUCCAUGUGUUUAUGAAAUUUUUGCAGUUUUUUUUGCUAUGGAUCUCCAAUUUCAACACACUAUGGUCUGAUAAUAUACAAGGGAUAACUUCAAUUCCUUUGCACUUACUUAAACAUGUUCUAUGAGCUAGUAUGUGAUCUAUUUUGGAUAACAACCCAUGUGCAGCUGAACAGAAUGUGUAUUCUGAUUUUUUGGGGUGGAAGACACUGUAAAUAUCUGUUAAGUUCAUUUCUUUAAGAGUUUGAUUGAGUUCUAGUAUUUCAUUACUUAUUUUUAGUCUAGUUGAUCUAUCUAUUUGUGACAGUGGGGUAUUGAUGUCCCCCACUACAAUUGUAUUAGUGCAUAUAUGACUUUUCAUGUCCGUUAGUAUUUGUUUUCUAUAGUUGGGUGCACUAGUGUUUUCUGCAUAGAUAUUUAUGAUCGUCAUCUCUUCCUCUUGGAUUCUUCCCUUUACAAGGAUGUAGUAUCCUUCUUCAUCUCUCUUAAUCAGUGUUGGUUUGAAAUCUACUUGAUCUGCAAAGAGGACAGCUACUCCUGCUUUUUUCGGGUUCCUGUCACAUGGAGUAUUGUUUUCUACUCUUUAACUUUCAGUCUAUGAACUUCAUUUUGAAUUAAGUGUGUUUCCUGUAUGCAGCAUGUUGUUGGAGUUUGCUUCUUGACCCAUUCUGCCAGUCUUUCUUUUGAUUGGUGAAUUAAGACCAUUAACAUUGAUGGUUAUAACUGAUAUGUAUUGACGUAUCAUUGUCAUACCUUUUUCUUUUGGUUGGAUUCUCCACUUUUACAUUUAAUUUCUUGUUGCACCCAAUGGGUUCAUUCUGCUGUGUUUCCUGAGGUUGUGAUCCUCAUUGUCUGUUCCUAAGAUAUUGUGUAAAAUUUUUCGAAGUGCUGGUUUUGUAUUCAUGAAGUUCCUAAGGUGCUCUUUGUCAUGAAAGUAUCUUAUUUCACCAUCGAUUUUGAAAGAGAGUUUUGCAGGGUACAUCAUUCUGCUUUGGAACCUGUUUUCCUUUAGGGCUUGGAAUAUGUCACUCCAAGCUCUUCUUGCCUUGAGGGUUUGCAUUGAGAAGUCUGCUGUGAUUCUGAUGGGCUUUUCUUUGUAUGUGAUUUGUUUCUUUUCUCUCACUGCUUGUAGAACUUUGUUUUUCUAUUGAGUUUCUGGAAUCUUAAGUAUUAUAUGCCUAUGUGUAGAAUUUUUUUUUGAUCAAGGCUAUUUGGAGUCCUAUAUUCCUCACUUAUCUGUAUGUAAAGUUCUUUUCCCUUGAUUGGAAAUUUUUCUGCCAUUACUUCCAUGAACAGUUUUUUUUAUGUCAUCUGCACUCUCUCCUGUUUCUUCUUUGACUCCAAUCAGUCUUAUGUUAUUAUUCUUUGCAUUGUCUAGCAGCUGCUGGAUUGAUUUCUCAUGAUCCCUUACAAUUCUGAAACAAUUUUUCCUUUCAUGGUCACUAAUUGUAUUCUUAUCUUCUAUAUCUGAAAUUCUGUCCUCACAUUGGCUCAUUCUGCUGUGUAGACUUUUGAUGGAAUUUUUAAUCUCCUGGAAAUAUGUUUGCAUCUGUUUUAUGGGUUUCAUUUGUUUCCUAUGUUGGGAUUCCAUCAUGUUCUUCAGCUCCUCUCUCGAUUUAUUAAUCAUUUCUUGCACUAUGAGCACAAUCUCUGCUGUUAUCAGAGAAAUUACUUCUGAUUUCUUUUUUUCCAGAUCCUGUUUUAUUGCCAGUUCUGGGAGCCCAGUUGGUUGAGUAUCAGUGUUCCAUCUCAUUUCCCUUUGGGUUUGCUGUAGGUGAUCUGGAAGUCUGGUUUUGAAACUUGUUUACGUGUCUUCUCAUUUCGACCCCAGCGACGGGGGGUGCUGCUCACCUGCUCUGAGUUGGGAGCAGUGGGAAGGCACCUCAGAAGCCCCUUCCUCUGGGCUGGGAGUGGCAGGACAUAUGGUUGCCUGGAAGCCCCUUCCUCAGGGAUACUUACAUAUCUUUUUAUUACUCCAGUGUUCUAAAAUUUGACAGAAAGUCUCAUAUUUCUAUACAUUUUGCUGUUGCUUUAACAUCUUUAAAUUCUGAGAAAAUUUCCAAAUAUUUCUUAAUUAUAUCUCUUUUUUAUUCUUAGUUCUUCCUGGAAAUUUUAUUAUAUCAGACCCCUAAUGUGGUAAAUCUGUAACUGAUAUCUGAGUAUAAAAUAAGGUAUUUUCCAUUUUACUUUUCCUCUAAAUCUUCUACUUGUUUUUUUAUGUCUAUCAUUUAUAAUUUCCAAUAGCAUUUUGAUCGUAGUAUUUCUUGUGUACCACUCUGUUAUUUCAUGAAUGUGAUUAUUUUAUCUUUCUAAGAAUACUAAUGGGUGCUGAUUUUUUAAAAUAUCUUUUUAUUUCCAUGUAUUCUAUAGUCUUUUUUACUCCUUUUAAAAAAAUUUAUUUUCUCUCUGCAUUCCAUAUUAGGUGCUUUCCUCAAGUGUCUGGUGGUUAUUAAUUGUCUGUUUCUAAUGGAGGAAUGUCUCAUACUUAUUGGAAAUUUUAUGGCAAGCAGGGAUUGUUGAUGGUGGUCUUUCCUGCAGGGUGACCAGACUGGGGCCCUUGUAUGACAAUCAAAAUGAGAAGUUAAAUUCCCAGGAAAGAAACUUCCAGUCACCUGCCAUCCAGAGAAUGGAGCCAAGGACACACAGGAUUCUGCUUGAAUGGGGGAGAGAAUGGAGUGGUCUAAUAGUAAAUGGAUUGGUAGCUAGCCAUUCCCCCCAUACACACACACACACACACACACACACACACACACACACACACUCUCCCUCACUUUCAUAGGCCCUUGAUACCACCAGUUCCUGCUUCUCUUUGUUGUCUUGCAGUGUGAAAUAGAUUUUUGAUCUAGCUUUUCCACUGCUAGCUUUGGAUUAAUUGUCUCUGUUCUAUUGACAGCCACUACUGAUUUUCUUUCUAGGCUUCAAAUAGUUUUAUUACUGAACCUCUCCUGCUCUUCCCCCAAUGGGUUUAUGAUUUUUUUCCCUACGUCUUCACUGUCAUUUUCAUAGGAUUUUUGGCUAGAGGAAGAAAAUGAGAGUAGAAUUUGAUAUUCUUGAUGAAAACUUUCUCUCAUUCCUCAGUUACCCUGGUCUAUCUUCUGUCGCUAACAAAUUCCCAGUUACCAGAUUCAAUACCCCUUUCCUUCCCUCAUUUAUUUAAUUUCUGCAAUAUUUGAAACAAUUUUCUACAACCUCAUUCAGGUUGUAACUUUCCUGUCUGGGUGUCUAUAGUACACCAGGCUUUAUUUCUAGGUCCCACUGCACAGCUUCAACCAUCAUUAUAGUUUAUGUGAGUCCCAAGGAUCUCAUAACUAAUUCCUUUGCUUUUUGGGCCAUUCCUCUAGUCUACUUUAUUACUUUCACAGCAACCUUCCAGUGGCUCCCAAUUAUUCUUAGACUAAAACCAUUCUCCUGGCUAAGCCUAUGCAGCUAUGUGACCCAGUCAGGAUUUGCAUGUUUCUCCUUUCUCUUCUGGGGUCACUUUUUCACUGGCCCAGUGUCCUCCAAGUUUCACUGCCUAUUUAUGUCAUUUGUCGACCUUAUUGUAGCUUGUGAAGCUGUACUUUCUUUGUUUGGAUGCUCAUAAUAGCAGCAUCUUUUACACCUUUCAGUUCUCAGCUCAAAUAACAUUCAGAGAAGAGACCACACUUUACAAAGUAACCCAAUCUCUAGUAAAUUACCAUGUUCAUUUUCUUUAUUGUAUUUUCUACUACCAGCAAUAAUUGUCUUACCUAUAUUUUAUGUGAAAACUUGUCUUUUGUCUCCAUUAAAACAUCAUCCUUAGGAAGGCAAGAUAAUGAAAUCCAGAUCAUCGCUACAAUUUAGGUAGACGCAGUACAUUUUUUACAUAAAAAGACACAUUUUUGGGGGAUGCUAAUAUUAAACACAGACUAGAUAUCAGUGUGGAAAGGCUAUGAAUUUAGGACUGAAGAAUGAAGAGGGAAAAUGGGAAGAGAGACAGACAGAGACAAUAAGAAAGACAGAUUUUGCUUGAUGAUCAUCAACUUUUACAAAAACUUGAGAUUAAAAAUUAUCUGAGUACAUGCCUGUUUCCUCAAAAGGUAUGUUACAGAGAACAUAGAUCUAUUUACAAGAUCCUGCAGUACAAGAAUAAUGGGAUGAAAAAAAUAUAAGUACUUACAUAAGUAAAAUAUAAGUAAAAUAUAAAAAAAUAUAGUUCACACAGCAUGUGGUAAAUCUAUGAAAUUCAUUACUAAAAAGGUCUAUGUAAAUGGAAAUUUUGAAUACUUAUAAAGUAAACUCACCAAAAGUGAUGGAUGACAAAUUCACAAUUGAUAAGGAAAGGUAAGAUGUUUGGUAUGUCUCCAAGCUUUCACAGUAAGGUAGUAGAUGUUGAAAUUUCCCAAAGCAUUUCCUUGAAUACUUCAUCACGGAAUGCACAGUCCUUUGACAGCUAAUACUUAGAGUUUGAUUCUGUUUAACAAUAUCAUAGUUUUUCAAUAUUCCAUUAGAAUCUCAGCUACCUAUUAUAUAAUUCUUUUUUUUUUUUUGGUACUGGGGAUCGAACUUGGGUCCUUGCACUUGUGAGGCAGUCAGUGGAACCACUGAGCUAAAUCCCUGGGCCUAUUAUAUAAUUCUUAUGAAAGAAAUCUAACUUUUUUCAGUGGAUCUUUUGAAAAUUAUUCCUCUUUAAAACAUAACCCCACAUGCUCACUUUGGUAGCACAUAUACUAAAACAUAACCCCUGGGUAUGGUGACACACACAUGUAAUCCCAGCACUCAGGAAGCUGAGGUAGGAAGAUAGCCAUGAGUUUGAGGCUAGCCCAUACUACAAAGGGAGAUCUUGUCCAAAAAUCAAAAAACAAAAUCCUCAUAACCUUAAUAAUAAAAAUAUUUUGGAAAGUGUGAAAGGAAUUCAGAGUGUUAAAAAGUUAUUUUCACAAACUUACUGUUUUUUUAAGGAGACCAAAUAACUGCUACUUACUUGUAAAGUCUUUGUUAACUAGGAGGAACAUUAUUUCUGUUAUUCUGUGUUACAGUGUUAGUGUUAUUUUAGUUUUCCAUCAAAGUUCUCAUUGCCAGCAAUAAAAAUUAAUUCUGGAUGAUUUAAGUGGAAAAGGAGUUUGUUGACAGGAAAUUGAGUCGUUCACAGAAUAAUUUGGAACACUGGGAAAAAAAUGAAAAAAUGUUGGACAAGCAGGAUGAAGAAAAGUGCAAAGCUUUGAAGCUAAAAUUAUGCUGCAGAAUGACUGGUGAGGAUGCUGUUUCUGCUGCCAUCAAACACCAGAUGAAUGUUUUAUGCUACUCAUUUCCCUGGCGUUGACACUGUCUACUGCUGACAUUGGCUAUCGGAUGCGUCCCUUCCCCCUGGGCGGUUGUGACUGGAUCCUCGCAGUUACUGCUACUGUUCCUGCCAGAAUGAAUUCUCCACUGCCUCCUGCUUUUCUCACCAGCUUCCAAGUCAGUUUCCAAUCUGGAUGCAGAGUGAUGGAGCCUAUUCCUGUGCCUGCCCUCAAGGCAUCGGGGCCUAUAAAAGGCUUGAAUUCGGGACCCUGUGCUUGCGAGGCAGGUGGCAGCAACACUGACCUAAAUCCCUUAAUCUUAAACGUUUCUCGUUUAAAGAUUCUUCAUGAGUGUCUCUCAGUUUUCAAAGAUUUUAGGAUUAUCCUAGAUACGUUAUUAUUGUGGAAUUUUAGAUUAAUUUGUUGUGAUACCCUGGAUUAUUUCAACCUUAAAAAAUUUACUGAUACCUUUCGUGGCCUAGAACAUGGUCAGCCUUGGUCAGUAUUCCAUGUAGAGUCAAUGUAAAGUCUUAUGACAUUGAUUAGGUAAAGCUGAUUAAUAUUGUUCAAAUCUUCUAUAGUAUUAUUGUGUUUGUGUGUGUGUGUGUGUGUGUACAUGUGAACUUUUUUUACUUUGUCCCCAUCUACUGUUAGUCAAAUGAAUUCCUCAGUUUGGAUAUAGAAUUCUUCAUUUUUAGCGUUUUCAUUUGGAUCUUAAAGCUGCCAUUGUUCUGCUGAAUUUCCCAAUUUUUCAUUUACAUAUUUAUUACAUUUAUUUUCAAGCCUCUAGCUGGUAUUUUAAGUAUUAAGUAUUUCCUCCUUGUCUACUUUUAUUUACUAUGGGUAACAUUUUUCUGCUUCUUUUUCUUUCUGAUUAGUUUCUUGUUUUGUACUAAGCAUUGUACGUAGAAAGAACUGUGAUCACUGACGUAAUUAAUAUUUACCCACGGCAAAGGACAUGUGCCUAUCAAGCUGCUAGAGAUGGGGCUUGUGUCAGUCUAAUCUGUUGUUAAACUGUAUCUAAAUUUUGUUACAAUUUCAAUACGAUUUAGUUCUUUAAAUGUAUGAAAUACUUUGAGAAGAAAAUUAGUGUCUUUCCUUCAGGAGAAUUUAAAGAACUUUUGAGCAUCCGUGAGAAUUCAGAGAUCUCUUUAUACUUAUGUUAUAGGUACUUAUCUUUCAAAUUAUGCAAGAGCUCUUUCUACCUUACAGCCUGGCUGUCCAAUUCUUUAAGUCAUUGUGAGUUAUAUUUUCUCUCUGGCAUGCCCUCCGCCUCUUCUGCAAUUAGGAAUACUUCCCUCUGGCCUGCAUGCUUCUGUCAUGGGGCAACUGGGGAAGGCCUAGUACACCCUAGAGGGGCCUCUGUCUGCUGGCCUUCUUCAUCCCCAACAAUUUGCGAUGCCUUUGGGUGUCUCCUUCAGCAACUUGUGUGACUUCCAACCUUGAGUACCUUGUAAGUUGCUGAUUAGCUUGGGGAAACGCCUUGUUCUAAAGAAUAGGAGGUCUGUUUCUUAGCUAUCCUGUAUGCUUCUAGCCUUUACUAGGCAACACAACAUCAAUUUUUAGAGGCUCUAAAGUACUGAUUUUUUUUCUAAAUAUGUAGUUAAGCUGAGGACCACAAAUUCUUCAUUUCUAUCCAUGUCAGUUGUUCCCUUCUAUCAAUGUCUUCUAGAAGAAUUCAAGAUUUCAGUGUAAAUGAAAAAAUAGUCACUCUGCCAUUUUAAAAAGCAUAAGCUACUACUUUUACAUCUUUGUGAUAUGUACUAGGAAAUGUCUCUACUACUUUUUAAAAAUCACAUCAGUUUUAAAGUUCUGUGACUCUGAUCUUUGAGUCCCUGAAGAUGCUGAAUAUGAAGAAUUUUUCAUUUAUUUUCAUAAGCUUUAAAAAAAUAAUAGAUUCUUUAAUUGAAUGUAUUUUAUAUAUUUCUA